ensembl:lncRNA
UGAACACACAAACUGCUCCACAGACACUCUAAAGUCGACACACAGAACACUUAUUCAUUCUGCUUUUGACUUUUACUUCUAAAUGUUUACAUUUGGUGUUGCUUUAAAAAAUGUCCAUGAGUGUUGAGUUAGGAAGUCAGCUAAUGACAGAACUGACCUCUGAUUGCCUUCCUGUGAUUGAGUAAACUUUCUCCUCCUGGUUGUUUUGUUGUAAACUCCACCCGUCUGGCACCUGAGUCAACGAACACAAACAACAGAAACUCCUCAGGCUGAAUUCCAUUUAAACCUGCGUGGCAGCACUAGUCCACACACACAUCUUCAGACUGACUCCAGCUGGUGGGAAAAUCUUUCUCAUCGUUGCUGUAAACUUCCUGUGAGCUGAUGCUGCCACCUUGAGGCAGAACUGAAAAUGUGCGUGGUUGGAUUAAAGCCUGCAUGCAGUCAGAGGGUCGGAUGAAGCAUCUGCUGGAUCAGGCCACAAUCAGACCAGCUGCAGAACAACAACACAAGAGAGGUCUGGAGAGGACUCCAGACCAUAUCAGGGCAGGGCAAGGGCAGAAAAGGGGAGCCUGAACCUGGGGACAGAGACUGGACCAACCAGUUAAACCUGUUUUUCAACAGGUUUGAUACUGGUCUCAUCCCCUCCCCUCCACCUCUAGCCUGAGCCUUGUCCAGCCGGCCUCCAGCUCCUGCUGCCUGCUAGCUCCCUCCCCCUCACCUCCUUCACCUCCACCAUCUCUGGCCCCCCCCCCCCAACAAACUGGACUGGACAGAUCACACUGACUCUCUGUAUAAGAAGGGUCAGUGUCAUCUAUACCUGCUGAGGAGACUCCCAUCAUUUGGUGUGAGCAGGACACUGCUGAGG